AUUGAACGCUGGCGGCAGGCCUAACACAUGCAAGUCGAACGUGGGGCGGGGGGGUGUGUAGUGUCGGGGAAACUGCCCGGUGGAGGGGUAUAAACUCUGGAAACUGUAGCUAAUACCGCAUAACCUCGGAUGUGCCCAGAUGGGAUUAGCGAGUGGGGGGGGUAACGGCUCACCUAGGCGACGCUCCCUAGCUGGUCUGAGAGGAUGACCAGCCACACUGGAACUGAGACACGGUCCAGACUCCUACGGGAGGCAGCAGUGGGGAAUAUUGCACAAUGGGCGCAAGCCUGAUGCAGCCAUGCCGCGUGUAUGAAGAAGGCCUUCGGGUUGUAAAGUACUUUCAGCGAGGAGGCGUUACUCGCAGAAGAAGCACCGGCUAACUCCGUGCCAGCAGCCGCGGUAAUAC
rnacentral:rRNA from 1 species